CUUUGCACCAGGAGAGAGAUCGGCCUGAACAUUUUAUAAAGGACAUAAGGACAAGGAACAGAGAAGUCAGUUUCUGCCCUCAUGGAGCUGCCAUAUAGGCUGCUUCCAGGCCUGAGUGUUAGGGAACAUAAAUGUCUAGAGAGACCCAAUUCCACAAGGAGAAAACCACUAUGAGGACCCAGAGAGGCAUUUGUGAAAUUGCUGGAGCCCUUAAAAUAGGAGCAGACACACAAGGAGAACACUAUGUGAAGAUAAAAGCAGAGAUUGGGGUGAUGCUUCUACAAGCCAAGGAACGCCUAAGAUCGGCAGCAAACCACCAGAAGCCCGACGAGAGGCCUGGAACAGCUCCUUCACAGCUCUCAGAAGGGACCAACCCUGCUGACUCCUUGAUCUUUGUCUUCUAUACUCCAAAACUGUGACACAGAAAUACACUAACCUCUGAAGGUUAACCGGGAGCUGCCUGGCCGUGUCAUUCCCUGUCUCUUGAUUGAGUUGUGGGUUACAGGACUGUCUACAUUUGUCAGAACAUACCGAGCUGUACGCUGAACAGCUGUGCAUUUUUUCAUAUGGAGGAGCAGAAAGUAACUCCAGGUCAGAAUUUUCCGGGCUCUCACAACCUCCUGCCAUCUAACAGGCCAGCUGCAGAAUGGUGAGCUUGUGGUUUGCAGUCUGACAGUUUGCUUAUU